AUCAGCUUCUUGCUGAUGCUACACUGCCUCCCCAUGGGAGAGCUUCGUGUUGCUUAGAGAAAACACAGACAGGCUGCAGGUUUGAGGAUUUUUUUUUCAAGAUUACCUGCUGGAAAUGUGAUCCUGGCCUGCUAGUUUUUAUCCGCCCAAUGACUGAUCCGGUAUGCACAAAUUGUGCUUAAAACUUCUUUCGGCUGCUUACUUCCCCCUACUGUACAUACACAGAGUCGGGCCCCAUUGGAGGCGGGCCAUGGUGCAGUUGCACCGUUUGAACCCCUGGUAGUUACGCCACUGGAAGAGUGGCUGGGGGACAGAGGGAACUGAAGCCGGCGACUUGGUUGCUAAGUGACAGUGACGCCACGAUACAGGAAGCCAGGUCAAGACCCGGAAGAGACUCACAGCAGCACACACGUAGGGGAGAACAAGGGGGAAGAAGCAAGAAGAUGGCGGAACAGUGCCGGUAUAAGUUUCAUCCGAUGUCUUACUCAAACAGCAGGAAAGAGCAGCAUAUUGGAGGUUUGGGUUCAGAUACUAUUAUCCAUAAGUGUGCUGCCUUUCGGACUAAAGAAAAGAAAAUUUCAGGAAAACCAGUCAGCUUGGUAUAUCGGUGUCCCUGCAGAUACUUUGAAAGCAAUGUGCCCAAAAGCAAUGUCAAACACCUGAAGAUCUACUCCACUAGCAACUGCUCCCUGCAAAUUGUAGUUUCUAAUGCAAAGAGACUAUCACUGCACAAACAUGGUAGCCCCUCUCAUAGAGGAACAUGAGGGACUGGAUAAGUAAUGUUAAAGCAUCAAGAAAACACUUUUAUGGCAAGAUAAUUAUGAUAGGGCCCGUCUGAAAAACAAUAGUAAACAGAUAUGCUUGGACCCCAAGACUAAAUGGAUUCAGGAGUACCUGGAGAAAGCCCUGAACAAGUAAGCAGGCGAGAGGAGAAGUGCAGUUACCAAACCCGGAAAUGUGUAAAGACAAGUACUCCACGGGCACCCACACACCUUUCUCUUGGAAUCCAGUAAUGUAUUUUGUGCCAAGCCCUAUCUCAAUCCUAAUGCUGCCUAGAGACUGAGGGAGCUUCUCUGCGACAAAGCAGAGCUGGUACUUGACACAGUCAGUGUCCCUGAGGUGUCUCAAAUGCAGAGCAGCAUCCCUGCUUCAUUUCUUUUAAUGUACAGCAGUGAAGGCUGCCAUCUAUACCACCCAUCUGUACCACUGAUAUUCUUCUUUAUUAUGGGUGCAAUGAAGCUUUCCACACUAUAGCGAUUACUACAAUUGUGAAAGACCAAUCUGGUCAAGUCUUUUGCUCUCUAUAUAUAUACAUAUAUAUAUAUAUAUAUAUAUAUAUACCAAUCAUUUAUUUAAUGUAACCUCUGUUGCUUAAUGAACUGUGGUGUUGAGAAGACAAAUUGUCAUUCUCAACAGUUAUUUAGUGUUAAAUUAGAGUUUUCAAUGCCAUGGCCUACUACUUUACAGCAAAGAAAUAGUUUCUACAACUACAUCAGGGAGAGAGGAGAAUAGCCAGCCAUUUUCUGGCUAUUUUUUUUCCCAGGUCAUGAUAACAGGAUUCAUAUUGUUCAGAAAUGAUACUAUACUGGUUUUCUUUGUACAUGCAAUCCCCAAGCCUUAUUAACCAGUGGACUUCAGAGUAUUCUAAAAAAGGGUUUUGUUUAGCAAUUAUCAAAUAGUGUCAGUGUUCUGGUUAAAAAUCUUUUCCUCUCUAAUUUACAAAUGUAUUCAUAAUUAUUUGCUUCAUGUCCCUCAAAACUUGCAAUACAACUCAAGGCAGCCUGCAAGGGAUAACUGUCCAAACUAAACCAAAUAGUAAGUGGUAGGCAAAAGACUGUGCUAGGGGGAAACUAAGAAUUCACAGCUGCAUCAUGUUUAAGUCUGUGGUUCAGAGAAAUCCACAGAGCAUCUGGACUCUCUCUCUCUCUCUCUCUCUCUCUCUCUCUCUCUCUCUCUCUCUCACAGCAGCCUGCACAGCGACAACUGAUUCCCAGCUGCCUGUAGGGUUCAUGUGUAUUUUCUUAACCUGCAUCACAACAUUGCUUUUCUUAGCAGGCAUUUGUUCUGUUGAAAACACAGAAUUUAUACUGCUUAGUUAUCUAAAGCCACUGUUAAAAGACAGGAAGAGAUCUGCUUCAGUAAUGUGAAUGUUAAACUUGAUACCAAAGCUCUGUAUGACAGUUUUUUUAGCACUUCAUUUAUUUUACCCCUUUAAUUCACCAGAUCCCUCUCUUCUAAGCCCUUCCCUUCGAUUCCAGUUACAAUUCACACAGCAGCUGAAUGUGAAUGGAAAUAUAUAAGGCAGAUAUAUAUUUAUAGUUAUCCUGCAUACAGAUUAUUUUCACUUGUGAAACGGUCUGACAGUGAACAAGCAGUUCAUGCAUACCUCUUUGUGUUAAGUACAGAAAAAUAUUUUUUUUUGUCACCAGAUUUUAGGUGAGUGUUUCUUAACAAGAAUGAUAUGGCAAUUAUCAUAGUGGGCAAUGAAGGAAAGAUUUGGGGGUGUUAUCGCACUGCAUGUUGUGCUACUAAAAAUGCAGCAGGUAAAACAUCCAAAAUCUCCUGGUGUGUUGUUGCCAGCAGGUAGAGCAGCAAGUAAAGUAGAUAAUUAUACUGAUCAUAAUAAAAGUAUAUGCAUUGCUUACACACAAUUCAGUAUCAAUGCUGGAUUAUCGAGUUUUAGAUGACAGCACACAAUACAGUCCCUUGUGUCUCUUGUUCAACCAUGAGCAGUUUGACCACACAAGUGGGUGGCAACAACAGACUAGAUAUUCUUUCCAGCCUGACUAAUUGCAGUCUAAUGGGGUUUCACAACACUCUGCCAGAGGGGCCUCAGCUUAAAUUUUUUGGCAGAUGUGCCUGAUCAUAUUGCUCAUACAGCUAGAUGUCUCUUGAUUAUAAAAAAAACCCCCUCAAAACUAAAAGCAGUUUGCUUUACUGAUCUAGUUCAGAUAGAAAAAAAGAUGUCAAACAUCUGAAAUCAAUCCUUGUACAUGCCCAGCAUGGCAACCAUUAUAGAGCCGUAACGUAUUUGCUUAUUCAAGGUAAAACUGUAAAAGGAGCAGAUUUAUGGUCUAUCUUCUAACUAAAGAAUGCUGGUUCUACCAUUUCCUAUCCUGGUAUGGAUGCUCCGUAGCCUAAAUGCUUGUUCAUUUAAUCGACUCUUUGUUUGCAAUGUGCACAGUAUCCAACUUAUCUGGAUGUCUGGCUGAUUGAUUGUAUUUUUCAGAUGUUGCUAAGGGCACAUGGAUUUAUAUCUUAUUCUUUUAGGCUGUUUGAUUUUCAAUUCAAAGCAUGGUUAAAUAAAUAGAAAGGAACAGACACAGAUUUCCCAUCAACCCUUGUACCUUAUGUGUCAUAGACAUUUAGCCCUAGAUUGAUGAUAACUGAAGAUAAUUGGAGACUGGGAAAAACACUCCCAUUUU